UACAGAGGUGGCAAGCGUUGUUCGGAAUUACUGGGCGUAAAGGGUGCGUAGGCGGCCCUGUAAGUCAGUGCUGAAAUAUCCCAGCUUAACUGGGAGGGUGGCAUUGAUACUGCGGGGCUAGAGUACAGAUGAGGUAGGCGGAAUUGACGGUGUAGCGGUGAAAUGCUUAGAUAUCGUCAAGAACACCUAUAGCGAAGGCAGCUUACUAGGCUGUAACUGACGCUGAGGCACGAAAGUGUGGGGAUCAAACAGG
rnacentral:rRNA from 1 species